ACGUAGGCACACAGGACAGGGACUAAUCGUGAAAAUUUCCCAUUUAAAAGAAAUGUGCACAUUUCCAUCCCUUGAAUGCACGGUCAGCUUUUCCCCUUCCCCAGGCUCUACUUUUGAGGGGAAAAAAAACAAAUGAAGCCUACUUUUUGUUUUUUUAUUUUUAAAACAUUGAACACCCCUUUUUUGAAAACCAAAAAAAAAUAUUUACCCAUCAUCUCUCUUAUUUUCCUUAAAGAAAAACAGAGAGAAAGCUCUCAAAUUUUCUCUUAGGCCUGCGCCACCCUCAUCAGAGGUCCGGCGAGCCGAGGUCGCGAGUUCGUCGGUGAUGUCAGACGCGUGAAGGAGCCAUGGUGGUGUGCGGUGCACAUGGGAGAAGCGGCGGCUGGAGAGGAGGCUAGGUUUUUUGUGUCUGCUGAAAUUUUUUUUUUUUUUUAGGUAGCGGGCUUGGGCUGUUAGGGUCUGUAAAUUGGGUCAUUUGAUUUUGGGUUUGGGUCAUUCAAUUGGGCCCGGGCAGAUUUGGGUCCCUACACAUGGUAUGUUAGGUACACAAGGAAGAUGGCAGAAGCUAUACCUGGUGAGAUGCAACUUGAAUACCCUAUGAAAAAUAUUAAAACACACGCAAAUACAACAAGAUCAUUCAGGUAUAUACGAAUAUAUUAAAAUUUGUAUAA